rnacentral:rRNA from 1 species
AAUAUUGGUCAAUGGACGCAAGUCUGAACCAGCCACGUCGCGUGAAGGAAGACGGNCCNNCGGGUNGNAAACUUCUUUUGUAANNNNNUAAAGUGUAGUCAGCGUACUAUUUUGCAUGUACCUUACGAAUAAGGAUCGGCUAACUCCGUGCCAGCCGCCGCGGUAAUACGGAGGAUCCGAGCGUUACCCGGAUUUCUUGGGUUUAACGGGUGCGCAGGCGGGAGAUUAAGUCGGCGGUGAAAUUUUGCAGCUCAACUGUAAAAGUGCCUUCGAAACUGGUUUUCUUGAGUGUAGAUGAAGUAGGCGGAAUUUGUGGUGUAGCGGUGAAAUGCAUAGAUAUCACGAGGAACUCCGAUUGCGCAGGCAGCUUACUAAGCUACAACUGACGCUCAUGCACGAAGGCGUGGGGAUCAAACAGG